GAUGAACGCUGGCGGCGUGCUUAACACAUGCAAGUCGAACGGUGAACACGGAGCUUGCUCUGUGGGAUCAGUGGCGAACGGGUGAGUAACACGUGAGCAACCUGCCCCUGACUCUGGGAUAAGCGCUGGAAACGGCGUCUAAUACUGGAUACGAACCGCGAAGGCAUCUUCAGUGGUUGGAAAGAUUUUUUGGUUGGGGAUGGGCUCGCGGCCUAUCAGCUUGUUGGUGAGGUAAUGGCUCACCAAGGCGUCGACGGGUAGCCGGCCUGAGAGGGUGACCGGCCACACUGGGACUGAGACACGGCCCAGACUCCUACGGGAGGCAGCAGUAGGGAAUAUUGGACAAUGGGCGGAAGCCUGAUCCAGCAACGCCGCGUGAGGGAUGACGGCCUUCGGGUUGUAAACCUCUUUCAGCACCGACGAAGCGUGAGUGACGGUAGGUGCAGAAGAAGGACCGGCCAACUACGUGCCAGCCGCCGCAGUAAAAC
rnacentral:rRNA from 1 species